rnacentral:rRNA from 1 species
UAUUUAUUAGAUAAAAAACCAACGCCCUUCGGGGCUCCUUGGUGAAUCAUAAUAACUUAACGAAUCGCAUGGCCUUGCGCCGGCGAUGGUUCAUUCAAAUUUCUGCCCUAUCAACUUUCGAUGGUAGGAUAGUGGCCUACCAUGGUGGCAACGGGUAACGGGGAAUUAGGGUUCGAUUCCGGAGAGGGAGCCUGAGAAACGGCUACCACAUCCAAGGAAGGCAGCAGGCGCGCAAAUUACCCAAUCCCGAUACGGGGAGGUAGUGACAAUAGAUACUGAUACGGGGCUCCUUUGGGUCUCGUAAUUGGAAUGAGAACAAUUUAAAUCCCUUAACGAGGAACAAUUGGAGGGCAAGUCUGGUGCCAGCAGCCGCGGUAAUUCCAGCUCCAAUAGCGUAUAUUAAAGUUGUUGCAGUUAAAAAGCUCGUAGUUGAACCUUGGGUCUGGCUGGCCGGUCCGCCUCACCGCGAGUACUGGUCCGGCUGGACCUUUCCUUCUGGGGAACCUCAUGGCCUUCACUGGCUGUGGGGGGAACCAGGACUUUUACUGUGAAAAAAUUAGAGUGUUCAAAGCAGGC